rnacentral:rRNA from 1 species
CCUACGGGAGGCAGCAGUGGGGGAUAUUGCACAAUGGGGGAAACCCUGAUGCAGCGACGCCGCGUGAGGGAAGACGGUCCUCUGGAUUGUAAACCACUGUCCCCAGGGACGAAGAUGACGGUACCUGGGGAGGAAGCUCCGGCUAACUACGUGCCAGCAGCCGCGGUAAUACGUAGGGAGCGAGCGUUGUCCGGAAUUACUGGGUGUAAAGGGCGCGUAGGCGGGACUGCAAGUUGGGUGUCAAAUCUACCGGCUCAACCGGUAGCCGCACUCAAAACUGCAGUUCUUGAGUGAAGUAGAGGCAGGCGGAAUUCCUAGUGUAGCGGUGAAAUGCGGAGAUAUUAGGAGGAACACCAGUGGCGAAGGCGGCCUGCUGGGCUUUUACUGACGCUGAGGCUCGAAAGUGUGGGGAGCAAACAGGAGUAGAUACCCCUGUAGUC